rnacentral:rRNA from 1 species
UGGUUUCGGGGUGUGGGGAUCUAGCGAGCCCACCUCCCACCCGUGUUUACUGUACCUUAGUUGCUUCGGCGGGCCCGCCAUUCAUGGCCGCCGGGGGCUCUCAGCCCCGGGCCCGCGCCCGCCGGAAACACCACGAACUCUGUCUGAUCUAGUGAAGUCUGAGUUGAUUGUAUCGCAAUCAGUUAAAACUUUCAACAAUGGAUCUCUUGGUUCCGGCAUCGAUGAAGAACGCAGCGAAAUGCGAUAACUAGUGUGAAUUGCAGAAUUCCGUGAAUCAUCGAGUCUUUGAACGCACAUUGCGCCCCCUGGUAUUCCGGGGGGCAUGCCUGUCCGAGCGUCAUUGCUGCCCAUCAAGCACGGCUUGUGUGUUGGGUCGUCGUCCCCUCUCCGGGGGGGACGGGCCCCAAAGGCAGCGGCGGCACCGCGUCCGAUCCUCGAGCGUAUGGGGCUUUGUCACCCGCUCUGUAGGCCCGGCCGGCGCUUGCCGAACGCAAAUCAAUCUUUUUCCAGGUUGACCUCGGAUCAGGUAGGGAUACCCGCUGAACUUAAGCAUAUCAAUAAGCGGAGGAA